GAGAGGACAAAGUUGUGGGUGGACCCAAGGAAAAAGGAACCCCAAGACCCAGAGAGGAAAACUGGACCUCAGGCCUGCCUCCUGGUGCCUGUUCUUUCUGCUGUAUCCCACAGGCUCCCAGUUUGGGCCUCGAGGGUCCGACUCUGAACUUGGCAUCCUCAUCCCUGGACAUUCUCCUUCCCCACCAUGUCCCUUUCUCGGUGAGUAACCCCAUCUAUGCAGCCACCCCAGGAAGAAACGAGGGGCCCAUCCUUAGCCACGUCUCCUCUCCUUACCUGUCUGUUAAACCAACCUGUUAACCAGCUUCGCGGUGUUCCUCAACGUUCUCCA
rnacentral:lncRNA from 1 species